rnacentral:lncRNA from 1 species
UACGAUGUGGUAUUUAUCCCUUUAUUCCUAACAUUAACAAUAAGAGCACCUGUAAACAAAAGAUUUUUCCUUGAUAAGGACAUGGUCUUCCACUUUGUUAAAGUAUUCCCCGUUAACAAGCGUCAUAAACUAACAGCUAGUAGAGCUAGUUUAGCUACUUGAAAAUAAAUUAACAUUAAGAUGUUCUGGAACAUUAACCAGAUUUGUUCGUGAAUUGUACUAAAAUAUAUUAUGGGAAUCGUACUCGUCUGAUGAACGCAGGUAUUGGUAAGUUUUAAUUAAUUGCUAAGUCGGUCAGUGAUGACACAGGACGCUGGUUAGAGCUUCCAAACUCCUCUAAAUAUUUUUUAGUCUUAAUGUUCUUUUAAAGGGUUGAUCUAUGCAUAGAAGUAAAGUUUUUAAACCUUGGGGAAAAUAAACGGUUGACGAAUGUGUUGGUAGAGAUUGAACCUAAGCUUUAAUGUUUAAUACGCAUAGUUAUUGAAAACAGCACUGGGCCGAGGGUUGAACUGUCUAGUUUUAGAGCUGAACUUUUAUCAUUAAAGCUUAUUCAGGCUUACAUAAGUAUAUAAAUGUGCCCAUCUGUAUAACGAUGAAUAUAAUGUAUUAAUGGUUAGCUCAUACAAUUGUAUUUAGGAACGGUUAUGAACUAGUAACACUAACAAGAGCAGUUAAGUAAUUUAUUAUUCGUAUGUAUCCCCCCAUGACGUUCUCUGUGGCGGGCUGGAGGUGGCGACGCUGGAGGUGGCGACGCCUGGGUACGUUGGCUUGAGGUUCUCUCCCAGCGGUUCCAACCACUUGGGGUGGACGGUAGAGCGACGGUCUCCCUUCAUGCAGGUCGGCGUUCAAUCCCCGACCGUCCAAGUGCAUCAUUCCUCCCCCCCCCCCAUCCCAAAUCCUUAUCCUGACCCCUUCCCAGUGCUAUAUAGUCGUAAUGGCUUGGCGCUUCUCUUCAUAGUUUCCUUCCCUUCACCCCCAGCGGAGGCAUGCAGGGAGCAGACAUCAUCCUGGGCUGGAUCUGUGACAAAGGCCAUGUUGUCUUCCUCUACAUUGUAGGAUGAUACGAACAUAGGCCAAAGCAUGAAGUGUACCACUGGGCUGAAUGUUCGGGUGAACAUGGUCAAUGGCCCUAAUCAUGAAAAGAUUGCAAAACAUUGUUGUAAACUGAUGUUCCUAGAUGCAAUCACUGAAGAUCCCAGAGGCAGAGACAACUCCAAAGGACCAUCACCUGUAAAAAAAAUAAACAUUAAACAGG